rnacentral:rRNA from 1 species
AGAGUUUGAUCCUGGCUCAGAACGAACGCUGGCGGCAUGCUUAACACAUGCAAGU